CAGAUCCAAAUGCCUUUAGAAGUUCAUCAAUGGCUCGAAUGAAGCUCUAAUUUGGACAAGUGAUGAUUGACGAUGAUAGUAGCUUGGGUGGUGGUUUUGGAAGGAUUGGGUGCCGGUCUACCAUGUUUGGAUGCAACUGGAGGUUGUUUGGUCAGUUAUGGAAUACAUUGCUGGAGGAGAGCUAUUUGACAAGUUUGUAGCGCAACGCUUCAGUGACCAUGAGGUAAGUAUUCUUGAUUAUGUCUAAUGGAGGUCUGAACAAGCCAACGGUUCAUAAUCAUUUAUCUCUUGGCGAUUCGAUUGACUUUGUGAAGGUUUAAGAGGUAAUUUAAUUAGUUUUUUUUUUAAUUGAUCAAUGCUAACUUCUUUUGAUUUUGAGUUCUUUAAUUUAGGGUAUAAUAUUUUAAAUGAAGUUUCACUCAGUGAUUCAGUGUUAUUAAGUUUAGUGUUUGAUAUGUUAAAACGAAAGUUUGAUUUUGGUGAUUCAGUGUUCUUUAAUUCAAGGUUACAUAUUUUUAACGAGGUUUAAUUUUGGUGCAUCAGUUGCAGGCUCUGCUGAGUUGCAGGGCUCUGCUGCAAUUGUUAAUUCCUUGGUCAUCUGCUGCAAUAGUUCAGCAUGAAGCUCAUUUUAAUUUAUCUUUUUAUAUGAGAUGUCAAAAAGAUUGUUUAACAUGCUUUCUUCAAUUUCAAUUUUCUAUAUUGUAUAUGAGGACUCAGUAAAGUCAAACCGUGGAAGCAAACCUUUAGGAAAUUACUAUAGAAAGAAAAAAGAUGAGUUAAAGAUCGGGGACCAGCCGUAAAUUACUAUAGUGAGAAAAAUUGAAGGCGCAAUUGCGAGAAGAGGGUAGUAGUGGCGGACAAAGACUAUGAUGCUUCAGUAUUUUAAUGGCACCGUUGCUAUCAGUGAUCCUGAAUCACCAGUAUCGACUUCAUUUUCAUGUUUUAAUUUAGCUCCCAGGUGCCAUCCUUGCGCAAGAAAGUUCACAUGGCCAAAAGUUACGGACAAGUCAACUGUCCCCACAAUAUUUUUGACUGGUUAACGGGUCAUUUGACCUUAAAUUGAAAUAUUUCACUGUUGGUUACCUUACAUAUAAGUUCUUCAAAUUGGACCAGAACUUUCGGUUUGUUAAUAGUCAAGAAAGAGUGUUUGCUAUUCAAGUGUUCGAGCUCCACAGAUUGAUAAAGUCACAAAACCGACUUUUGGGUUUCAUGCGCCUUCAAGAUUAGAAGGUAUCCCCCAAUCUCGACCGGAUUUACCCGAAACCUCACAUUUGAUGAAGAUACUGAGAAAUGUGGGGGCAGAGCGGCCUAAUUGGCCCCACGAGGACGAGCCAUUCAUGGGCGUGCACCAAAUGAGGCCAACAUCGCCAUCUCAUAUGGCGUAACCUGCGAAUGAAUUGCAGCUGUACCUAUCAAAAUUUUAUCUUAUAUGGUUCCUUCA